rnacentral:rRNA from 1 species
GACGAACGCUGGCGGCGUGCCUAAUACAUGCAAGUAGAACGCUGAAGGAAGGAGCUUGCUCUUUCUGGAUGAGUUGCGAACGGGUGAGUAACGCAUAGGUAACCUGCCUGGUAGCGGGGGAUAACUAUUGGAAACGAUAGCUAAUACCGCAUAAAAUUGAUUAUUGCAUGAUAGUCAAUUAAAAGGUGCAACUGCACCACUACCAGAUGGACCUGCGUUGUAUUAGCUAGUUGGUGGGGUAACGGCUCACCAAGGCGACGAUACAUAGCCGACCUGAGAGGGUGAUCGGCCACACUGGGACUGAGACACGGCCCAGACUCCUACGGGAGGCAGCAGUAGGGAAUCUUCGGCAAUGGACGGAAGUCUGACCGAGCAACGCCGCGUGAGUGAAGAAGGUUUUCGGAUCGUAAAGCUCUGUUGUAAGAGAAGAACGAGUGUGAGAGUGGAAAGUUCACACUGUGACGGUAUCUUACCAGAAAGGGACGGCUAACUACGUG